rnacentral:rRNA from 1 species
UCCCGUUUGCUUCAUUUAAAAGGAAUUAAAAGUCGUAACAAGGUUUCCGUAGGUGAACCUGCGGAAGGAUCAUUAUUGAAAUAAACCUGAUGGGUUGUUGCUGGUUCUCUAGGGAGCAUGUGCACGCCUUGUCAUUUUUAUAUCUCCACCUGUGCACCUUUUGUAGGCCUUUUAGGUCUAUGUUGCUUUUUCAUUUACCCCAAUGUAUGUUUAUAGAAUGUUGUGCAUAUAAAAUCUAUACAACUUUCAGCAACGGAUCUCUUGGCUCUCGCAUCGAUGAAGAACGCAGCGAAAUGCGAUAAGUAAUGUGAAUUGCAGAAUUCAGUGAAUCAUCGAAUCUUUGAACGCACCUUGCGCUCCUUGGUAUUCCGAGGAGCAUGCCUGUUUGAGUGUCAUUAAUAUAUAUCAACCUUCUCAUUUAUGAGUGGUUUGGAUGUGGGGGUUUGCUGGCCUCUUAAAUGAGUUCAGCUCCUCUGAAAUGCAUUAACAGAACAACCUUGUUCAUUGGCGUGAUAACUAUCUACGCUAUUGAAUGUGAGGGACAGUUCAGCUUUCUAACAGUCCUUGGACAACUUAUCAUUAAUGUGACCUCAAAUCAGGUAGGACUACCCGCUGAACUUAAGCAUAUCAAUAAGCGGAGGA